UGUAAAAUUUCAAAGGUCGAACAGACCCAAAAUCUCAGCUUCUGCACCGAAAUUUAAUUUUAAUCCAACAUCGAGGUCGCAAACUUUUUUAUCGAUAAGAACUCUCCAAAAAAAAUUACGCUGUUAUCCCUAAGGUAAUUUAGUCUUGUAAUCCAAAAAAAAGGAUCAAAUAAUCAUAAAUCAAUGUUAAAAACAAAAAAAAGUUAAUUAAAUUUUUCCAUCGCCCCAACAAAAUACCUAAAUAAAAAUAAAAGAAUCAAUCCAACAACUCUUAUAUCCAAUUAAAUAUAAAACUCUAUAGGGUCUUCUCGUCUUUAUAAAAAAUUUAAGCUUUUUCACUUAAAAUUGAAGUUCUAAAACAUUUACACAGAGACAGUUAUUUUCUCAUCAAACCUUUCAUUCCAGCUUUCAAUUAAAAAACUAAUGAUUAUGCUACCUUUGCACAGUCAAAAUACUGCGGCCAUUCAAAAAUCAUUGGGCAGGCCAGACUUUAAAUCAAAAUCAAAAAGAC
rnacentral:rRNA from 1 species